AUGGGGAUUCUUGCUCUUACCAAUUUUUUUGUUAAUGCAUCAUCCCCCGAGGCGUCGAUGAAGAAGGUGGUCUGGUCUUGUCCUCCAAGAGGUUUCGUUAAAUUUAGUGUUGAUGCUUCUUUUGAUCACGAUCUUCUUAGGGGUUCCAUGGGAGCGGUCCUUCGAGACGACAAAAGCAGGUUUAUUGCUGGAGGGAAUCAGAAAAUAGAUUUUUGCGCGGAUGUGUUGAUGGCAGAAGCUUUAGCUCUCAAAUGCGGUCUAACACCGGCGCAAAGGGCGGGAUGCAAUCGCCUUGUUAUAAAUUCAGAUAAUAUGGAGGUGACUGAAACUAUGAAUGAUGGAGGACAGUCGGCGGGCGCGGCAGCAGCAAUCUUCGAUGAUUGUUAUCAUUAUGCUUGUGAUUUCGUUACUGCUAGAUUUAAACACUGUAAUAGGGAAGCAAACAAAGUAGCUCAUGAGCUUGCUAGACUAGCUAAUUUUCUUUGA
rnacentral:rRNA from 1 species